UCGCGGCUUAUCACCGGCAGUCUCCCUAGAGUGCCCUUGCGUAGCAACUAGGGACAAGGGUUGCGCUCGUUGCGGGACUUAACCCAACAUCUCACGACACGAGCUGACGACAGCCAUGCAGCACCUGUGUUCCGAUUCCCUUUCAGGCACACCCACCUUUCGGCAGGCUUCCGGACAUGUCAAGGGUAGGUAAGGUUGUUCGCGUUGCAUCGAAUUAAUCCACAUCAUCCACCGCUUGUGCGGGUCCCCGUCAAUUCCUUUGAGUUUUAACCUUGCGGCCGUACUCCCCAGGCGGUCAACUUCACGCGUUAGCUUCGGUACUGAGAAAUCGCUUCCCCAACACCUAGUUGACAUCGUUUAGGGCGUGGACUAC
rnacentral:misc_RNA from 1 species